rnacentral:rRNA from 1 species
AGCUCCAAUAGCGUAUAUUUAAGUUGUUGCAGUUAAAAAGCUCGUAGUUGGAUUUCGGUUGAGAACGGCCGGUCCGCCGUUUGGUGUGCACUGGCUGGUUUCAACUUCCUGUAGAGGACGCGCUCUGGCUUCACGGCUGGACGCGGAGUCUACGUGGUUACUUUGAAAAAAUUAGAGUGUUCAAAGCGGGCUUACGCUUGAAUAUUUCAGCAUGGAAUAACACUAUAGGACUCCUGUCCUAUUUCGUUGGUCUCGGGACGGGAGUAAUGAUUAAGAGGAACAGUUGGGGGCAUUCGUAUUUCAUUGUCAGAGGUGAAAUUCUUGGAUUUAUGAAAGACGAACUUCUGCGAAAGCAUUUGACAAGGAUGUUU